rnacentral:tRNA from 1 species
GUUCUUAUAGUUUUAUGUAAAAAUAUUACACUGAAAAUGUAAAGAAAAAAAUUUUUGAGAAUA